rfam:Caenorhabditis brenneri strain PB2801 C_brenneri-6.0.1_Cont119.32, whole genome shotgun sequence.
GUGCAAGGAUGAAAAAAUAAUUUAGACUGAUAAGUGAUGUCUUCCUACAUUAUCAGAGCACG